GUGAGAGUCCAGUUCAUUGAGUCAACAAUUAUUUUAUAAGUGCCUCCUGCAGGACUGGCACUGCUGGGCACUCAAGGGACCAAGAUUAGUCAGAUCAAGAUAGUUCCCUUUAGCAGCUCCCAGACUAUAAGAGAGAAAAGACCUAUACAAUCAUGGGAAUAUGAAAGACAAGGUAUUCAGUGCUCCAUGAGGCACAAGAAAGCUCUAUAGGACUUGGGAGAGGAGUAGCUGGCUGGAGGAAUCACAGAAGGCUUCCUGGAGGAAGUGGCUUUGAGCUUCUGCCAUCUCCAUGCAGCUACUCCAAGCUCCAGAGCCAGCCACGGAGCACUCCUGGAACUCUUUGCAGGAUCCAUCUCGAAGUUCUGACUCCCAGCAGAGAAACAACACUGGCCCAGCCCCUAGGAGAAAGCCUAACUGCAGUAAAGGAGUCCUGGAGACAGGACAAGAAUGAAGUCAAUGAAGCAUAGCAGGAGUGGAGAUAAAGGUGCUUUCUUGGGCCUCACUGCCCUGGGGUGACUUAUCCAGUUAAUUUUUUUCCCUCCUCCUCUCUCUUUCUCCCCCUUACUCUGCUGACUCUAAAGGCCCUGGGAAGAUGUGUGAUCAUGUUUAUAUGAGACUGUCUUAGGAGAUUGCCAGAAGGCCUAUUUCUCUAGUUGUACUUGCCUUCUUGUGCUCCUGUAAGAAGACACAGAGAUAGAGGAUUAUGUUGCCCUAUGACUCAGAUGGAGGGGUAAGGGGCAGAGGCAGAGGCAGACAAGGUGAGAGGCAUAGCAAAGACCACACAGCAAGCUGCUACCCACAUCCCUAAGAAGUAUCCGAACCCCCAGAAGUUCUAAUAAACAUUAUUCCCAUUGCUGAUAGUUAAUUUUUC
rnacentral:lncRNA from 10 species